AAUAAUAAAUCAAACAAAUAUCAAAACUAUUUCUUAAAGACAAAUUAAGGCCAUCCACUGAGGUAUGGUCAAAUUCCAAUUUCUCCUUUUUAGUUAAUUACAAUCACUUCCGAAGGUUGGUUGAAAUUAACCAAACAAGUUUUCACAGCAUCGCCUCGUCAUCAUGUUGUGCAGUGCCAACUCGCUUGUCAAAUUGGUUAUGAAAAAUUCGUCACUGAAAGAGUUGUGUUACGAAGACCGCCACCGACUUCCAUGUUGUUAACAAUAGAGCUAAAGCACUUCCCGGGUUAUGUAAAUUUGAUGUUCCUGUGUCUAUUGACAUUAAUUUCGACUGUAACAGGUUACACUGAUUUGGCAGUGUGGUGUUGGAACGGAAAUAACAGAGCUACAUUUAGCCACAGAUUAACGGUGUUAGCUAGUUACGUUAGUCGGAAAAUAAGCCAAAUUAGUUGUAUAAUAAUGGAGGAUAUAUAUUUUGAUUUUUAUGGAUGAUUAAUUAGUAGCAAAUUAAAAAAAUAUAUAUUAUUAUUAUAUGAAGAUCACAAUUAUUGAAGA